CUCGCACGCCGGGACCAAGCACAGCCGGAAAAGCUGAGGACAAUCGGACUCACCCUGUAGUUAUAAUAGUGCGUCUGAAUGAUAUGCCGGUGGCGCGACUUGUGGUUGCCGAAGUUGGAUUUCUCGCAAACCAAGCUCUGCACAGUGACUGACAUCCUGAUGGUCUACCAUUUGUAUUUGGAAGCACCAUGAAGCUUUUCCAGCAGAGCUCUGCACAGUGACUGACAUCCUGAUGGUCUACCAUUUGUAUUUGGAAGCACCAUGAAGCUUUUCCAGCCAACCAUUUAGUUUAAAAUGUUGCCUAUUUUGAAGAUGCAAAAUAAAUUUUAUCUAUAUAAAUAUCAGCUGAAAAA